GGGAUUUGCGCAUGGGCGAANCCUGNGCAGCGACGCCGCGUGCGGGAUGAAGGCCUUCGGGUUGUAAACCGCUUUCAGCAGGGACGAAGCGAAAGUGACGGUACCUGCAGAAGAAGCGCCGGCUAACUACGUGCCAGCAGCCGCGGUAACACGUAGGGCGCAAGCGUUGUCCGGAAUUAUUGGGCGUAAAGAGCUCGUAGGUGGUCCGCCACGUCUGCUGUGAAAUUCCAGGGCUUAACCCUGGACUUGCAGUGGAUACGGGCAGACUAGAGGUAGGUAGGGGAGAAUGGAAUUCCCGGUGUAGCNGGUGAAAUGCGCAGAUAUCGGGAGGAACACCGGUGGCGAAGGCGGUUCUCUGGGCCUUACCUGACACUGAGGAGCGAAAGCGUGGGGAGCGAACAGGAUUAGAUACCCUGGUAGUCCACGCCGUAAACGUUGGGCGCUAGGUGUGGGGUCCUUCCACGGAUUCCGUGCCGCAGCUAACGCAUUAAGCGCCCCGCCUGGGGAGUACGGCCGCAAGGCUAAAACUCAAAGAAAUUGACGGA
rnacentral:rRNA from 1 species